AACGAACGCUGGCGGCAUGCCUAACACAUGCAAGUCGAACGAGACCUUCGGGGCUUGUGUCGCAGGGGUGCUUAAGGAGGGGUAACCUGCCCGUAGGUUAGGUAUAACUCAGCGGAGGGGAACCUAUGACAGCGAUAUGUAAUACGACCAAAGAUUUAUCGCCUCAGGAUGGGCCCGCGUUGGAUGAAAUUGUUGGUAGAGUAGAAGGCUACCAAGGGGACGAGCCAUAGCUGGGCGGAGCGGAUGACCAGGAACACUGGGACUGAGAGACGGCACAGAUCUCUACGGGUGGCAGCAGGGGGGAACAUUGGACGAUGCGCGAGUGACUGAUCCAGCGAUGCCGCGUGAGUGAGGAAGGCCUUAGGGUUGUAAAGCUCUUUUGCACGGGAUGACAAUGACGGUACCGGAAGAAUAAGCUCCGGCUAACUCCGUG
rnacentral:rRNA from 1 species